UACGUAGGGUGCGAGCGUUAAUCGGAAUUACUGGGCGUAAAGCGUGCGCAGGCGGUUCGUCGUGUCUGAUGUGAAAGCCCCGGGCUCAACCUGGGAAUGGCAUUGGAAACUGGCGGACUAGAGUGUGGCAGAGGGGGGUGGAAUUCCGCGUGUAGCAGUGAAAUGCGUAGAUAUGUGGAGGAACACCGAUGGCGAAGGCAGCCCCCUGGGAUAACACUGACGCUCAUGCACGAAAGCGUGGGGAGCAAACAGG
rnacentral:rRNA from 1 species